CAGGCGGAAGCAGUGGCUGCCAUGGAGGAGGACAAGCUCUUAUCUGCAGUGCCUGAGGAAGGCGAUGCCACCCGUGACCCCGGUAUGUUCGUGUUAUGUAGGGAUAAGUGUCUCUAAGUCUCCGUGGGCAGGAGUGUGAGUAUGUGGGGUUACGUGUCUGUGGCACUGGGUGUGCCAUGGCCCUAAGAGUGUUUCCAUCCAGGCAGGGCCUAGGGCAGCCC
rnacentral:lncRNA from 1 species